AAUGCUAAGAGUCGUCAAUGCCUGAUUUCAAUCCAAAUCUAGUGUAUUUUUUACUCAGUUUACCAAUUAAAACUUUUCAGAUGUAUAGCUCCUAGAUUAUUAAAAAAAAUAUUGGAAUACUAUACAUAUUGGUUGGGACAUGAGUAGUUAUUUAUUUCUGAAGAAUAAAAUCUUGAAAGAUCAAAUGAUUGAAAAGCUAUUUUCUGGUAGAGGUGUCUUAUCCUUCAAUUUCUAUCCUAUUAUUAUUGGGUAUGAUUUUCUAAUAGAAGGACCAGAAUCUUGGAACAUGUUUUAUUGAAAAGGUUUUCAUUUAUUUCUUUUUUUAUAUCUCCCCAUCAUGGCAUGAUCUUGCCUUUUAUUGGUUAGACCAUGUAAUAAUUACAAAGCUAUAUGUUGGUGAAGGAUAGAGAAAAGAUGUGUUUGAAUGCAUUUAAUUGAUAUCGAAGCGUUUAUGUAUCAUAAUUGUAAAUGAUAUGGUGUCAUUAUGAUACUAUGAGAUAAAGGUUGGUUGAAGUUCAUGUUUGAAUGGAAGUCUUGGACAAAAUUACUGAUAGAAAGACUAAAGCUCUUUCUUAAAAUCAUGAACUUCGUUAACAUGCUUUAGUCAUUUUUCUUGAUAAUGGUUUUUCUAACUUCAUUAACAUGCAUUCAGAACAUUGAUAUUUGAUAGCAGUCGGGAUUGACAUCUUAACUUUUCUUCUUGUACAACAGGUCCAGAAAAACACCAUAUACA
rnacentral:misc_RNA from 1 species